rnacentral:miRNA from 1 species
CACUGUCUGUAAUGAGCCCUCU